CCUACGGGAGGCAGCAGUGGGGAAUAUUGGACAAUGGGCGAAAGCCUGAUCCAGCCAUGCCGCGUGUGUGAAGAAGGCCUUCGGGUUGUAAAGCACUUUCAGUGGGGAAGAAAGCCUUGGGGCUAAUACCCUCGAGGAAGGACAUCACCCACAGAAGAAGCACCGGCUAACUCCGUGCCAGCAGCCGCGGUAAUACGGAGGGUGCGAGCGUUAAUCGGAAUUACUGGGCGUAAAGCGCGCGUAGGCGGUCUGAUAAGCCGGUUGUGAAAGCCCCGGGCUCAACCUGCGAACGGCAUCCGGAACUGUCAGGCUAGAGUGCAGGAGAGGGAGGUAGAAUUCCCGGUGUAGCGGUGAAAUGCGUAGAGAUCGGGAGGAAUACCAGUGGCGAAGGCGGCCUUCUGGACUGACACUGACGCUGAGGUGCGAAAGCGUGGGUAGCAAACAGGAUUAGAUACCCUAGUAGUC
rnacentral:rRNA from 1 species